AGGAUGAACGCUGGCGGCGUGCCUAACACAUGCAAGUCGAACGUCCUGUCUCGCAAGAGGCAGGGAGUGGCGGACGGGUGAGUACCACGUGGGUCAUCUACCGUGAGGUGAGGAAUACCGGCGAGAAAUCGCCGACAAGACCGCAUAGGCUCGAUGCAAGUCGAGCAAAGCUCUUUCGAGAGAGGGAGCGCCACACGAGGAGCCUGCGCCCGAUUAGCUAGCUGGUGGAGUAACGGUUCACCAGGGCGACGAUCGGUAGCUGGUCUGAGAGGACGAUCAGCCACACUGGGAUUGAGAACGGCCCAGACUCCGUACGGGGGGCAGCAGUGAGGAAUUUUCGUCAAUGGGGGCAACCCUGAACGAGCAACGCCGCGUGCAGGAAGAAGGUUUCGGAUCGUAAACUGUCUUUCGUCGGGGAAGAGGAACGGACGGUACCCGAGGAAUCAGCCCGGCUAACUACGCGCCAGCAGCCGCGGU
rnacentral:rRNA from 1 species